UCCGGCUUAACGCCGGCGGUCUCCCUAGAGUGCCCAACUGAAUGGUGGCAACUAAGGACGAGGGUUGCACUCGUUGCGGGACUUAACCCAACACCUCACGACACGAGCUGACGACAGCCAUGCAGCACCUGUGUGCAGGUCACCGAAGUGAAGAGAUCCGUCUCCGGAAAUCGUCCUGCCAUGUCAAGGGCUGGUAAGGUUCUUCGCGUUGCUUCGAAUUAAACCACAUGCUCCACUGCUUGUGCGGGCCCCCGUCAAUUCCUUUGAGUUUUAAUCUUGCGACCGUACUCCCCAGGCGGGAAGCUUAAUGCGUUAGCUGCGCCACCGACAAGUAAACUUGCCGACGGCUAGCUUCCAUCGUUUACAGCGUGGACUAC
rnacentral:misc_RNA from 1 species